rnacentral:rRNA from 1 species
CCUACGGGAGGCAGCAGUGGGGGAUAUUGCACAAUGGGGGAAACCCUGAUGCAGCGACGCCGCGGGUGGGAAGACGGUCUUCUGGAUUGUAAACCACUGUCCCCAGGGACGAAAAUGACGGUACCUGGGGAGGAAGCUCCGGCUAACUACGUGCCAGCAGCCGCGGUAAUACGUAGGGAGCAAGCGUUGUCCGGAAUUACUGGGUGUAAAGGGAGCGUAGGCGGGGAUGCAAGUUGGGUGUCAAAACUACCGGCUCAACCGAUAGUCGCACUCAAAACUGCAGCUCUUGAGUGAAGUAGAGGCAGGCGGAAUUCCUAGUGUAGCGGUGAAAUGCGUAGAUAUUAGGAGGAACUCCGAUUGCGAAGGCAGCUUACUAAGCCAUAACUGACACUGAAGCACGAAAGCGUGGGGAUCAAACAGGAUUAGAUACCCGUC